rnacentral:rRNA from 1 species
UACAGAGGGGGCAAGCGUUAUUCGGAAUCAUUGGGCGUAAAGCGCGUGUAGGCGGCCCGGUAAGUCCGCUGUGAAAGUCGGGGGCUCAACCCUCGAAAGCCGGUGGAUACUGUCGGGCUAGAGUGCGGAAGAGGCGAGUGGAAUUCCUGGUGUAGCGGUGAAAUGCGCAGAUAUCAGGAGGAACACCGAUUGCGAAGGCAGCUCGCUGGGACGUUACUGACGCUGAGACGCGAAAGCGUGGGGAGCAAACAGG